GGAGGUCCUGCCUGCCCAGUGACAACUAGUUAAACGGCCGCGGUAUUUUGACCGUGCUAAGGUAGCGCAAUCACUUGUCUUUUAAAUGAGGACCUGUAUGAAUGGCGGAACGAGGGCUUAACUGUCUCCUUUUCCUAGUCAAUGAAAUUGAUCUACCCGUGCAGAAGCGGGUAUACUAAUACAAGACGAGAAGACCCUUUGGAGCUUAAGAUAAAAGGCCAACUAUGUCAAAGGCCCAAAUAAAACUAAGCCAAACAAAACAGCCAACUGGCCAAUAUCUUCGGUUGGGGCGACCGCGGGGGAAAACAAAGCCCCCACGUGGAACGGGGAAUAUACCCUAAAACCAAGAGAGACAUCUCUAAGUCACAGAACAUCUGACCAAAAGAUCCGGCCAACCAAGCCGAUCAACGGACCAAGUUACCCUAGGGAUAACAGCGCAAUCCCCUCCAAGAGUUCAUAUCGACAAGGGGGUUUACGACCUCGAUGUUGGAUCAGGACAUCCUAAUGGUGCAGCCGCUAUUAAGGA
rnacentral:rRNA from 1 species